GACGGAGGAUGCAAGCGUUAUCCGGAAUUAUUGGGCGUAAAGCGUCCGCAGGUGGCUUAUCAAGUCUGCUGUCAAAGACCGGGGCUUAACUUCGGAAAGGCAGUGGAAACUGAACAGCUAGAGUAUGGUAGGGGCAGAGGGAAUUCCUGGUGUAGCGGUGAAAUGCGUAGAGAUCAGGAAGAACAUCGGUGGCGAAGGCGCUCUGCUGGACCAUAACUGACACUCAGGGACGAAAGCUAGGGGAGCGAAUGGG
rnacentral:rRNA from 1 species